GUCUAGUCCGAAUUCCGAAUGCAGCAGUGUUGGUGACUAACUGAUCACAACCAGAUACAGAUUUCUUUGUUCCUUCUCCACUCCCACUGCUUCGCUUGACUAGCCUCUA
ensembl:misc_RNA Y_RNA Y RNA